AUUGAACGCUGGCGGCAGGCCUAACACAUGCAAGUCGAACGAGUGGCGGACGGGUGAGUAAUGUCUGGGAAACUGCCUGAUGGAGGGGGAUAACUACUGGAAACGGUAGCUAAUACCGCAUACCAUCAGAUGUGCCCAGAUGGGAUUAGCUUGUUGGGGGGGUAACGGCUCACCAAGGCGAAGAUCCCUAGCUGGUCUGAGAGGAUGAACAGCCACACUGGAACUGAGACACUGUCCAGACUCCUCCGGGAGGCAGCAGUGGUGAAUAUUGAACAAUGGGCGCAAGCCGGAGGCAGCCAUGACUCGUGUAUGAAGAAGGCCUUCGGGUUUUAAAGUACGUUCAGCGGGGAGGCGUUACCCGCAGAAGAAGCACCGGCUAACUCCGUGCCAGCAGCCGCGGUAAUUC
rnacentral:rRNA from 1 species